GAUGAAGAACGCAGCGAAAUGCGAUAAGUAAUGUGAAUUGCAGAAUUCAGUGAAUCAUCGAAUCUUUGAACGCACCUUGCGCCCUUUGGCCAUUCCGAAGGGCAUGCCUGUUUGAGUAUCAUGAACACCUCAACUCUUUAUGGUUUUCCAUGAUGAGCUUGGACUCUGGGGGUUUUGCUGGCUCACAGUCAGCUCCUCUAAAAUGAAUCAGCUUACCAGUGUUUGGUGGGUAUCAUGGGUGUGAUAACUAUCUACGCUUGUGGUUUUUCCACCAGGUAACCUUCAGCAGUGGAGGUUCGCUGGAGCUCAUAGAUGUCUCUCCUCAGUGAGGACAGCCCUUUGAACUUUUGAUCUCAAAUCAGGUAGGACUACCCGCUGAACUUAAGCAUAUCAAUAAGCGGAGGA
rnacentral:misc_RNA from 1 species